rnacentral:rRNA from 1 species
GUGGAUUAGAUACCCGGGUAGUCCACGCCCUAAACGAUGUCAACUGGUUGUCGGGGAAGCAAUUCCUUGGUAACGAAGCUAACGCGUGAAGUUGACCGCCUGGGGAGUACGGCCGCAAGGUUAAAACUCAAAGGAAUUGACGGGGACCCGCACAAGCGGUGGAUUAUGUGGAUUAAUUCGAUGCAACGCGAAAAACCUUACCUACCCUUGACAUGUACGGAACCUCGCAGAGAUGCGGGGGUGCCCGAAAGGGAGCCGUAACACAGGUGCUGCACGGUUGUCGCCAGCG